rnacentral:lncRNA from 1 species
UAUAUUUUAAGAAAAAAUUAAGUUUAAAGAAAAGGAUCGACUCCUAGGGUCGAUCCCUGUCAAAAGAGACUGAACGACACGCUAUUUUUGGCUGGCACACCCAAAGAAGACAACCCUAGGGGUCGACCUCUGUUGUCCGUGCAAGCCAAAGAUACAGAACAGUGACUUUCUAUUCUACGCCACAGAGAUCGACCCUAUAAAGAUACAGAAUAGUGACUUUCUGUUCUAUGCCACAGAGAUUGACUCAUAGGGUCGACCACUGUGCAGGAGACGACCCUAUGAGUCAACCCCUACGAUGAAAAAUUUUUGUAAUGACUAGUUUUUCAACUCAUUUUGGCUGUAUUUAUUGUUCAUUUAAUGCACUCUAAUGGCUCUAAUCCUGUCCAGAUUACUCUCCACCAUCUAUUGAUGAUAAAAAGGCAUUAAAAGGAGGGAAAAAUAAGAGAUUGAAGCAUUCAUUUUUAGCCCUAAGCAAAAAGUCCUCUUCAAGUUAAAGAAGCUUUCAUUUCAAGUUCACCAACCCCUCAAGAGCUCAUUCAAGUUUUCAACAACCUUAAGAAAAAUUAGAAAAACUUCUUCCUUGUUGUGUAAAGUGUAUUUAAAGUUUUAUUUGCUCAUUAAAGGAGCUAAACUUGUAUUUCUUUGUCAUUAACUCUUAUACUCUAUUUUUGUCAUGAUCUUUAAUUUUGGAAGGAUUCCAAAAUUUGGAUAGGUUGAUCCGAACUUUGAAUCGGAUUGUAUUGGAUUGGCUUGUACCCAAAAAAUAAGUGUUCUAACUUGGGAUAGCUAGAGUCAGAGGUACCGACGUUGUAUUCUUGUUGAAUAUGUUUUAGUAGAUUUAAAUUCUUAAGUAGGAGCUUGGAG